CCUGUGCUUCGUGGAUCUAUCAGCGUGCAUCGAUGUGAUGUGUCUUCGCCGGCGCCGAUUCCUUUCCAUUUGGAGGUUUUUCUGACCACCCCAAAAGGACGUUCUCUGGUCGAAGUGGUGGAGUAAAAGCUCUGGCAAUCAAAAUUGCUGACCUGACGAAGAUCUCGAAAGAGAAAUCUGUAAAAAUAUUUGUGUGCUAAUAAAUGCUCCUAGCAAUUA